rnacentral:rRNA from 1 species
GGUUAAGCGACUAAGCGUACACGGUGGAUGCCCUGGCAGUCAGAGGCGAUGAAGGACGUGCUAAUCUGCGAAAAGCGCCGGCGAGGUGAUAUGAACCCUUGACCCGGCGAUGUCCGAAUGGGGAAACCCAGUGUGAUUCGUCACACUAUCGUUAACUGAAUACAUAGGUUAACGAGGCGAACCGGGGGAACUGAAACAUCUAAGUACCCCGAGGAAAAGAAAUCAACCGAGAUUCCCCCAGUAGCGGCGAGCGAACGGGGAGCAGCCCGGAGUCUGAAUCAGCUUGUGUGUUAGUGGAACGGUCUGGAAAGUCCGACGGUACAGGGUGAUAGUCCCGUACACGAAAGCACACUUGCUGUGAACUCGAAGAGUAGGGCGGGACACGUGGUAUCCUGUCUGAAUAUGGGGGGACCAUCCUCCAAGGCUAAAUACUCCUGACUGACCGAUAGUGAACCAGUACCGUGAGGGAAAGGCGAAAAGAACCCCGGCGAGGGGAGUGAAAAAGAACCUGAAACCGUGUACGUACAAGCAGUGGGAGCACCUUCGUGGUGUGACUGCGUACCUUUUGUAUAAUGGGUCAGCGACUUAUAUUCUGUAGCAAGGUUAACCGUAUAGGGGAGCCGAAGGGAAACCGAGUCUUAACUGGGCGUUAAGUUGCAGGGUAUAGACCCGAAACCCGGUGAUCUAGCCAUGGGCAGGUUGAAGGUUGGGUAACACUAACUGGAGGACCGAACCGACUAAUGUUGAAAAAUUAGCGGAUGACCUGUGGCUGGGGGUGAAAGGCCAAUCAAACCGGGAGAUAGCUGGUUCUCCCCGAAAGCUAUUUAGGUAGCGCCUCGUGAACUCAUCUUCGGGGGUAGAGCACUGUUUCGGCUAGGGGGCCAUCCCGGCUUACCAACCCGAUGCAAACUACGAAUACCGAAGAAUGUUAUCACGGGAGACACACGGCGGGUGCUAACGUCCGUCGUGAAGAGGGAAACAACCCAGACCGCCAGCUAAGGUCCCAAAGUCAUGGUUAAGUGGGAAACGAUGUGGGAAGGCACAGACAGCCAGGAUGUUGGCUUAGAAGCAGCCAUCAUUUAAAGAAAGCGUAAUAGCUCACUGGUCGAGUCGGCCUGCGCGGAAGAUGUAACGGGGCUAAACCAUGCACCGAAGCUGCGGCAGCGACACUAUGUGUUGUUGGGUAGGGGAGCGUUCUGUAAGCCGUUGAAGGUGUGCUGUGAGGCAUGCUGGAGGUAUCAGAAGUGCGAAUGCUGACAUAAGUAACGAUAAAGCGGGUGAAAAGCCCGCUCGCCGGAAGACCAAGGGUUCCUGUCCAACGUUAAUCGGGGCAGGGUGAGUCGACCCCUAAGGCGAGGCCGAAAGGCGUAGUCGAUGGGAAACAGGUUAAUAUUCCUGUACUUGGUGUUACUGCGAAGGGGGGACGGAGAAGGCUAUGUCAGCCGGGCGACGGUUGUCCCGGUUUAAGCAUGUAGGCGGAGGUUCCAGGUAAAUCCGGUACCUUAUUAACGCUGAGGUGUGAUGACGAGGCACUACGGUGCUGAAGUGAUAAAUGCCCUGCUUCCAGGAAAAGCCUCUAAGCAUCAGGUAACACGAAAUCGUACCCCAAACCGACACAGGUGGUCAGGUAGAGAAUACCAAGGCGCUUGAGAGAACUCGGGUGAAGGAACUAGGCAAAAUGGUGCCGUAACUUCGGGAGAAGGCACGCUGAUGUGUAGGUGAAGCCCCUGCGGGCGGAGCUGAAAUCAGUCGAAGAUACCAGCUGGCUGCAACUGUUUAUUAAAAACACAGCACUGUGCAAACACGAAAGUGGACGUAUACGGUGUGACGCCUGCCCGGUGCCGGAAGGUUAAUUGAUGGGGUUAGCUGUAAGGCGAAGCUCUUGAUCGAAGCCCCGGUAAACGGCGGCCGUAACUAUAACGGUCCUAAGGUAGCGAAAUUCCUUGUCGGGUAAGUUCCGACCUGCACGAAUGGCGUAAUGAUGGCCAGGCUGUCUCCACCCGAGACUCAGUGAAAUUGAACUCGCUGUGAAGAUGCAGUGUACCCGCGGCAAGACGGAAAGACCCCGUGAACCUUUACUAUAGCUUGACACUGAACACUGGUCCUUGAUGUGUAGGAUAGGUGGGAGGCUUUGAAGCGUGGACGCCAGUCUGCGUGGAGCCGCCCUUGAAAUACCACCCUUUAAUGGCUGGUGUUCUAACGUAGACCCGUAAUCCGGGUUGCGGACAGUGUCUGGUGGGUAGUUUGACUGGGGCGGUCUCCUCCCAAAGAGUAACGGAGGAGCACGAAGGUUGGCUAAUCCUGGUCGGACAUCAGGAGGUUAGUGCAAUGGCAUAAGCCAGCUUGACUGCGAGCGUGACGGCGCGAGCAGGUGCGAAAGCAGGUCAUAGUGAUCCGGUGGUUCUGAAUGGAAGGGCCAUCGCUCAACGGAUAAAAGGUACUCCGGGGAUAACAGGCUGAUACCGCCCAAGAGUUCAUAUCGACGGCGGUGUUUGGCACCUCGAUGUCGGCUCAUCACAUCCUGGGGCUGAAGUAGGUCCCAAGGGUAUGGCUGUUCGCCAUUUAAAGUGGUACGCGAGCUGGGUUUAGAACGUCGUGAGACAGUUCGGUCCCUAUCUGCCGUGGGCGCUGGAGAAUUGAGGGGGGCUGCUCCUAGUACGAGAGGACCGGAGUGGACGCAUCACUGGUGUUCGGGUUGUCAUGCCAAUGGCACUGCCCGGUAGCUAAAUGCGGAAGAGAUAAGUGCUGAAAGCAUCUAAGCACGAAACUUGCCCCGAGAUGAGUUCUCCCUGAGACUUUAAGUCUCCUGAAGGAACGUUAAAGACUAUGACGUUGAUAGGUCGGGUGUGUAAGCGCAGCGAUGCGUUGAGCUAACCGAUACUAAUGAACCGUGAGGCUUAACCUU